rnacentral:rRNA from 1 species
GACGAACGCUGGCGGCGUGCCUAAUACAUGCAAGUCGAACGCAGUGGGGACGGGUGAGUAACACGUGGGUAACCUCCCAUCAGAGGGGAUAACACUUGGAAACAGGUGCUAAAACGAUACUGAUGGAUGGAACCGCGGUGCAUUAGCUAGUUGGUGAGGUAACGGCUCACCAAGGCCACGAUGCCUAGCCGGUCUGGUAGGGUGAUCGGCCACACUGGAACUGAGACACGGCCCAGACUCCGACGGGAGGCAGCAGUAGGGAAUCUUCUGCAAUGGACGAAAGUCUGACCGAGCAACGCCGCGUGUGUGAAGAAGGUUUUCGGAUCGUAAAACUCUGUGGUUAGAGAAGCGGUAUCUAACCAGAAAGCCACGGCUAACUACGUGCCAGCAGCCGCGGUAAUUC